rnacentral:rRNA from 1 species
CAGUCGCCGCGGUAAUACAGAGGGUGCGAGCGUUAAUCGGAUUUACUGGGCGUAAAGCGUGCGUAGGCGGCUUCUUAAGUCGGAUGUGAAAUCCCUGAGCUUAACUUAGGAAUUGCAUUCGAUACUGGGAAGCUAGAGUAUGGGAGAGGAUGGUAGAAUUCCAGGUGUAGCGGUGAAAUGCGUAGAGAUCUGGAGGAAUACCGAUGGCGAAUGCAGCCAUCUGGCCUAAUACUGACGCUGAGGUACGAAAGCAUGGGGAGCAAACAGGAUUAGAUACCCCCGUAGUCCCUGUCUCUUAUAC